rnacentral:rRNA from 1 species
CAGUCGCCGCGGGAAAACGAAGGGGGCUAGCGUUGUUCGGAAUUACUGGGCGUAAAGCGCACGUAGGCGGAUAUUUAAGUCAGGGGUGAAAUCCCGCAGCUCAACUGCGGAACUGCCUUUGAUACUGGGUAUCUUGAGUAUGGAAGAGGUUAGUGGAAUUGCGAGUGUAGAGGUGAAAUUCGUAGAUAUUCGCAGGAACACCAGUGGCGAAGGCGGCUAACUGGUCCAUAACUGACGCUGAGGUGCGAAAGCGUGGGGAGCAAACAGGAUUAGAUACCCCCGUAGUCCCUGUCUCUUAUAC